GACGAACCGUGCGAACGUUAUUCGGAAUCACUGGGCUUAAAGGGCGCGUAGGCGGGCAACCAAGUCCGGGGUGAAAUCCUCCAGCUCAACUGGAGAAGUGCCUCGGAUACUGGCUGCCUCGAGGAGGGUAGGGGCAUCUGGAACUAGCGGUGGAGCGGUGAAAUGCGUUGAUAUCGCUAGGAACUCCGGUGGCGAAGGCGGCGUGCUGGAUCCCUACUGACGCUGAGGCACGAAAGCCAGGGGAGCAAACGGG
rnacentral:rRNA from 1 species